UACGGAGGGUGCAAGCGUUAUCCGGAAUCAUUGGGUUUAAAGGGUCCGUAGGCGGACUAAUAAGUCAGGGGUGAAAUACCACAGCUCAACUGUGGAACUGCCUUUGAUACUGUUAGUCUUGAAUUAUAUGGAAGUAGAUAGAAUGUGUAGUGUAGCGGUGAAAUGCUUAGAGAUUACACAGAAUACCGAUUGCGAAGGCAGUCUACUACGUAUAUAUUGACGCUAAUGGACGAAAGCGUGGGGAGCGAACAGGAUUAGAUACCCCCGUA
rnacentral:rRNA from 1 species